GCCGGGGAGCCAAUAGCACAAAAAAGACUGAGCCGGCGGUGCAAACCGCGCAGCCGGCACAG
rfam:Tatumella morbirosei strain LMG 23360 Contig4, whole genome shotgun sequence.